rnacentral:piRNA from 1 species
CGAUAAGGAAUUCAUCAGGUGGCU